rnacentral:rRNA from 1 species
GAUCAUGGCUCAGGACGGACGCUGGCGGCGCGCCUAACACAUGCAAGUCGAACGAGCGAGGGAGAGCUUGCUUUCUCGAGCGAGUGGCGAACGGGUGAGUAACGCGUGAGGAACCUGCCUCAAAGAGGGGGACAACAGUUGGAAACGACUGCUAAUACCGCAUAAGCCCACGGGUCGGCAUCGACCAGAGGGAAAAGGAGCAAUCCGCUUUGAGAUGGCCUCGCGUCCGAUUAGCUAGUUGG